CACGUAGGGCGCAAGCGUUGUCCGGAAUUAUUGGGCGUAAGAGCUCGUAGGCGGUCUGUUGCGUCCGCUGUGAAAAAUCGGGGCUUAACCCCGAGCCUGCAGUGGAUACGGGCAGACUAGAGGUAGGUAGGGGAGAAUGGAAUUCCCGGUGUAGCGGUGAAAUGCGCAGAUAUCGGGAGGAACACCGGUGGCGAAGGCGGUUCACUGGGC
rnacentral:rRNA from 1 species